UCCCCUCCUAGAAUGGGGGUAAGGGAGGGUGAUGAAACGUUGGAACAACUGAACAUCCCUGACCAUUUACUCCAAAAGCCUUUUGUAUUCCAGCAGGAUCUGUGCAAUCUUUUCUGUCUUCACAUGACACCAUAGACCUAGGCCUGAAAUAACUGGGAAGAGAGAUGAGUAUCAGAAUGUCUCAGCAAGAACUAGACAAAACAUCCAUCCUCUUUAGCAUGAAUUGAGCUGGGGGUGAAGUGGGAGGGCUUGGAGGAAGGAAAAAAGAAGGGACUGUUUCGAAUAAAUAUGAAUACAUUCAUUAGAUACUUUUCACAAUCAGAUAGCUCCCUCCAAAAUGGU
rnacentral:lncRNA from 1 species